UCACGAGACCGAUAGCGAACAAGUACCGUGAGGGAAAGUUGAAAAGCACUUUGGAGAGAGAGUUAAAAAGUACGUGAAACCGUCGAGAGGCAAACGGGAGGGCCUGUCGGGUCGUUCGGUCGCUUUCAGGCGGGCCGGAGACCGGGUCGCGGGAUCGGGGACCUUCGCGGGCCUCGACUCGCGUCGCCGGCCGACGGCUCGGCGCACUAGCGUCGGACGAGGGCCGCGACCGGCUGGGCGGCGGGCAAACGGCUCCGGGCAAGGUAACCCCGCUUCGGCGGGGUGCUACAGGCCCGGUGCGCGCAAGGGUCGCCGCCCGGUCGAGGAGAGAUGCGCGCCGCACCUGCCCCGUUCGCGGGGCCGGGGAAGCCGUUCGAGCAGCGUCGUGUCGCGGUCCGGGACUGUCCUCAGUCCCGGGUCGUCUCGGCGCGGUUCCGAGCGGUCGCUCCCUCGCGAGGUGCCGCGGGUCAGCGGCUGACGCCAGCCACCUUCCCGACCCGUCUUGAAACACGGACCAAGGAGUCUAACAUGUGCGCGAGCCGCGGGGCAGUACGAAACCCGUAAGGCGAAAUGAAGGUGAACGCCGGCGCGGUCCGGCGGAGGUUGGAUCCCGUCCCGUCGGGGCGGGCGCACUACCGGCCGAUUUUUUACUUCCCCUGUCGGCGAGGUCGAGCGAGAGCGUGCAAGUCGGGACCCGAAAGAGGUGAACUAUGCCUGAGGAGGUUGAAGCCAGAGGAAACUCUGGUGGAGGACCGUAGCGAUUCUGACGUGCAAAUCGAUCGUCAAAUUUGGGUAUAGGGGCGAAAGACUAAUCGAACCGUCUAGUAGCUGGUUCCCUUCGAAGUUUCCCUCAGGAUAGCUGGCGCUCUGUCGCAGUUUUAUCUGGUAAAGCGAAUGAUUAGAGGUCUUGGGGGCGAAACGCCCUCAACCUAUUCUCAAACUUUAAAUUGGUAAGAAGCCCGACUCGCUCGUUUGGAGCCGGGCAUGGAAUGCGAGUGCCAAGUGGGCCACUCUUGGUAAGCAGGACUGGCGAUGCGGGAUGAACCGAACGCCGGGUUAAGGCGCCCGACGCGACGCUCAUCAGAGCCCACAAAAGGUGUUGGUUGAUAUAGACAGCAGGACGGUGGCCAUGGAAGUCGGAAACCGCUAAGGAGUGUGUAACAACUCACCUGCCGAAUCAAUCAGCCCUGAAAAUGGAUGGCGCUGGAGCGUCGGGCCUAUACCCGGCCGUCGCGGCGGUACGAGCAUCGAGUUGGUGCGCUAGGCCGCGACGAGUACGAGGGCCGCGGCGGCGGGCGUAAAAGCCUAGGCGCGAGCCCGGGUGGAGC
rnacentral:ncRNA from 1 species